CAAAUUGCUCCUUUCUCUCUCUUCCCUUUUUCACCAUUGUUUUCUCCUUUCCUUUGUUCAAGAAAAUCAUCAUUUCUAAUUUCUUACACUUUGUUCAAGAAAUCUCACAAUUAAUUCAAAAUAUUUUCACCCAUUAAUAAAGGUAAAUUCGAAGUCAACAUGUAUUUUGUAAGAUUUCUUGUGAUUUUAUUUUCAUAUU
rnacentral:lncRNA from 1 species